AUACGUAGGGUGCAAGCGUUAAUCGGAAUUACUGGGCGUAAAGCGUGCGCAGGCGGUUUUGUAAGACAGAGGUGAAAUCCCCGGGCUCAACCUGGGAACUGCCUUUGUGACUGCAAGGCUAGAGUACGGCAGAGGGGGAUGGAAUUCCGCGUGUAGCAGUGAAAUGCGUAGAUAUGCGGAGGAACACCGAUGGCGAAGGCAAUCCCCUGGGCCUGUACUGACGCUCAUGCACGAAAGCGUGGGGAGCAAACAGGAUUAGAUACCCUGGUAGUCCACGCCCUAAACGAUGUCAGCUGGUUGUUGGGUCUUCAUUGACUCAGUAACGAAGCUAACGCGUGAAGUUGACCGCCUGGGGAGUACGGCCGCAAGGUUAAAACUCAAAUGAAUUGGCGGGG
rnacentral:rRNA from 1 species